GGGCGCAUAGCUCAGUUGGCUAGAGCGCAGCUGUCACAUAGCUGAGGUCACAGGUUCGAAUCCUGUUGCGCCCA
rnacentral:tRNA from 1 species